rnacentral:lncRNA from 1 species
GAAAUUGUAGCAGUGAUACUUUAGAAUGAAUAUGGUGAAAAAAAUGAUUACAAUUACUCUGAACAAUUAACCUACAUAUCCAUAUAUUAUCACACCAUAGACCUAGCCCCAUUACAACCUGAAAAUACCUCAAAAAGUGUGUGUAAUGUGUAAUUGAUAAUUGAGAUAGAGCUUAUGCAAGCAUAUGGUAUGAUAACGCGUACUGUGAGUUUUGAGUGCAUAUACAUUAACACUUGAGAGAACUGGUGAGAGUAUGAAUAGG